GGGCCCGCACAAGCGGUGGAGUAUGUGGUUUAAUUCGAUGCAACGCGAAGAACCUUACCAGGGUUUGACAUCCUGCGAAUCUCUUGGAAACAGGAGAGUGCCUUCGGGAACGCAGUGACAGGUGGUGCAUGGCUGUCGUCAGCUCGUGUCGUGAGAUGUUGGGUUAAGUCCCGCAACGAGCGCAACCCACGUCUUUAGUUGCCAGCAUUUAGUUGGGCACUCUAGAGAGACUGCCGGUGAUAAACCGGAGGAAGGUGUGGAUGACGUCAAGUCAUCAUGCCCCUUACGGGUUGGGCUACACACGUGCUACAAUGGCAGUGACAAUGGGUUAAUCCCAAAAAGCUGUCUCAGUUCGGAUUGGGGUCUGCAACUCGACCCCAUGAAGUCGGAAUCGCUAGUAAUCGC
rnacentral:rRNA from 1 species